UUGAAAGGGAAACGAUUGAAGUCAGUCGUACCUGCGGGUAAUCAGCCUUUUGGGCAUGAUUCUGUGGAGCGUGAGGAGUUAAACGCCUUCAUGCCUGCAUAUUCGUGUACUUUGGGUGUACUUGCCUGUGUGGUUAGUUAACAUCAAUUUUGGUUAUCAUAAAAUGGUUGGAGGAAUGUAGCUUCGAUUUCGAUUGAAGUGUUAUAGCCCUCGGCAGAUGUGAUGAUCGGGAUUGAGGAUUGCAACGGAUACCCUUCGGGGCUACCUGUCUGGUCUCUGAUCGUUGCUCUGGUGCCGAAAGCGUGCUUACGGUUAUCAAAGUCGAUGGUCAAUAGGUUAGAACGGGUUAAAUUCGUUAAGGAUGUUGACGUA
rnacentral:rRNA from 1 species